rnacentral:rRNA from 1 species
AGUCGAGCGGAUGAAGGGAGCUUGCUCCCGGAUUCAGCGGCGGACGGGUGAGUAAUGCCUAGGAAUCUGCCUGGUAGUGGGGGACAACGUUCCGAAAGGAGCGCUAAUACCGCAUACGUCCUACGGGAGAAAGUGGGGGAUCUUCGGACCUCACGCUAUCAGAUGAGCCUAGGUCGGAUUAGCUAGUAGGUGGGGUAAUGGCUCACCUAGGCGACGAUCCGUAACUGGUCUGAGAGGAUGAUCAGUCACACUGGAACUGAGACACGGUCCAGACUCCUACGGGAGGCAGCAGUGGGGAAUAUUGGACAAUGGGCGAAAGCCUGAUCCAGCCAUGCCGCGUGUGUGAAGAAGGUCUUCGGAUUGUAAAGCACUUUAAGUUGGGAGGAAGGGCAGUAAGUUAAUACCUUGCUGUUUUGACGUUACCAACAGAAUAAGCACCGGCUAACUUCGUGCCAGCAGCCGCGGUAAUACGAAGGGUGCAAGCGUUAAUCGGAAUUACUGGGCGUAAAGCGCGCGUAGGUGGUUUGGUAAGAUGGAUGUGAAAUCCCCGGGCUCAACCUGGG